rnacentral:tRNA from 1 species
GGUAAAUAUAAUUUAAUAGGUUAGAAUGAAUACUUGUGGCGUAUGUGAUCUGAGUUCAAGUCUCAGUAUUUACC